AACGAACGCUGGCGGCGUGCCUAACACAUGCAAGUCGCACGAGAAAGCCCUUCGGGGUGAGUAGAGUGGCGCACGGGUGAGUAAUGCAUAGGAACGUACCCUAGAGUGGGGAAUAACCACGGGAAACUGUGGCUAAUACCGCAUACGGUAGAAAUACUAAAGAGGCCCUCUGUAUAUGGUCUCGCUUUAGGCUCGGCCUAUGUCCCAUUAGCUAGUUGGUGAGGUAAAGGCUCACCAAGGCAACGAUGGGUAGCUGGUCUGAGAGGAUGAUCAGCCACACUGGGACUGAGACACGGCCCAGACUCCUACGGGAGGCAGCAGUGGGGAAUAUUGCACAAUGGGCGCAAGCCUGAUGCAGCAACGCCGCGUGUGUGAAGAAGGCCCUUGGGUUGUAAAGCACUUUCGACAGGGAAGAAGGGUGGCUAGAUUAAUACCCUAGUCAUUUGACGGUACCUGCAGAAGAAGCACCGGCUAACUCCG
rnacentral:rRNA from 1 species